UACGUAGGGUGCAAGCGUUGUCCGGAAUUAUUGGGCGUAAAGAGCUCGUAGGCGGUCUGUCGCGUCUGCUGUGAAAACUCAGGGCUUAACCCUGAGCUUGCAGUGGGUACGGGCAGACUAGAGUGCGGUAGGGGAGACUGGAAUUCCUGGUGUAGCGGUGAAAUGCGCAGAUAUCAGGAGGAACACCGGUGGCGAAGGCGGGUCUCUGGGCCGUAACUGGACGCUGGAGGAGCGAAAGCAUGGGGAGCGAACAGG
rnacentral:rRNA from 1 species